AAAAGAAAGAAAAAAUCCCGUGACCAAAAAUAAAUUUUAGAUUUCAACCAAGAAACAAAAUAACAAGCUGAUACCAGGAAAGUGGGAAACACUGAGGAUAUAAGCACUGAGGGAGUUUGAGGCCAAUAUUUUAUCGUCACAGGGCGCAGGUGGGGGGCCGUGUGCGUGCGGCCGGCCCCCGUGGUGUGAGCCCUGGGGGGAGGGGGGGUGGGGCGGCGUGCGGUCACGGUCCGGGCCGCCUCGCUCGAGAGCGUCGUCCCCGGGAUGUCGCGCCUCGGGGUUCAGCCUCAGAUGGAAAGACGGAUCCGUCGCGGAUGGAUGGCGGAAGGCGGGUGGGCGGCUCGCCGGCCGUGGCGGCGGGGCCGGGUCGUGGGCCUUUGUCGUCUGGUCCUCGGGGCGGCGCCCGCGUCCCUGUCCCGCGGCCCCCGCCGUGCGUGCUUGCCGGCCCCUCCCCGCCGCCGCCGGCCAGACCAAAAGGUCUGAACAACUGAAGUCUUAAAACGAUGAAGGAGAAUCAGGAGAAGCAGCUUUGAUACAUGGGUCAGGAAGAUGCUCUGGAGGAGGAAAUGGCAACUCACUCCAGUAUGCUUGCCUGGAAAAUGCCACAGACAGAGGAGCUUGGAAGACUACAGACCAUGAAGUCACAGACAGUUGGACAUGACUGAGCAACUGAGCAUGCACACACUAGUAAAUACAGACAAGAAAAUUCUGCUAUUUUCACUGAGAAGCAACAUGGGUGGUUAUUUCUACCUGAUGUUUUGAGAAGUUAAUAUUCUGUAGGUAUCAGUUCAGUUCAGUUCAGUUCAGUCACUCAGUCCUAUCCGACUGUUUGUGACCCCAUGGACUGCAGCAUGCCAGGUCUCCCUGUCCAUCACCAAAUUCCGGAGUUUAGUCAAACUCAUGUCCCUUGAGUCAGUGAUGCCAUCCAGCCAUCUCAUCCUCUGUCAUCCUCUUCUCCUCCUGUCCCCAAUCCCUCCCGGCAUCAGGGUCUUUUCCAAUGAGUCAGUUCUUCACAUGAGGUGGCCAAAAGUAUUGGAGUUUCAGCUUCAGCAUCAGUCCUUCCAAUGAAUAUUCAGGACUGAUUUCCUUUAGGAUGGACUUGUUGGAUCUCCUUGCAGUCCAAGGGACCCUCGUGAGUCUUCCCCAACACCACG
rnacentral:lncRNA from 1 species